rnacentral:rRNA from 1 species
CCACCACCAAAGCAUUUGCUGUACCGCGUUGACGGAGCGAAGCGACGUCAAACCGAUAAAACAGCAGUGUAAAGUGAGCCGCAGGGCGCUUUGCGCGACAGCGCAAAGGCAGGCGGUUUCGCGUAGCGAAAGCGAAUGCUUUGGGGUGGGGUGACUGCGUACCUUUUGUAUAAUGGGUCAGCGACUUAUAUUCUGUAGCAAGGUUAACCGAAUAGGGGAGCCGGAGGGAAACCGAGUCUUAAUUGGGCGUUAAGUUGCAGGGUAUAGACCCGAAACCCGGUGAUCUAGCCAUGGGCAGGUUGAAGGUUGGGUAACACUAACUGGAGGACCGAACCGACUAAUGUUGAAAAAUUAGCGGAUGACCUGUGGCUGGGGGUGAAAGGCCAAUCAAACCGGGAGAUAGCUGGUUCUCCCCGAAAGCUAUUUAGGUAGCGCCUCGUGAAUUCAUCUCCGGGGGUAGAGCACUGUUUCGGCUAGGGGGCCAUCCCGGCUUACCAACCCGAUGCAAACUGCGAAUACCGGAGAAUGUUAUCACGGGAGACACACGGCGGGUGCUAACGUCCGUCGUGAAGAGGGAAACAACCCAGACCGCCAGCUAAGGUCCCAAAGUCAUGGUUAAGUGGGAAACGAUGUGGGAAGGCCCAGACAGCCAGGAUGUUGGCUUAGAAGCAGCCAUCAUUUAAAGAAAGCGUAAUAGCUCACUGGUCGAGUCGGCCUGCGCGGAAGAUGUAACGGGGCUAAACCAUGCACCGAAGCUGCGGCAGC